CUAGAGGCUAAGAGCCAGAGAGGAGAGAGCUUGGCUCUCUUCAGAAGGGGUGAGCUCUGAUACCUUGAGAAGAUGGUGGCAGGAGAGAUGCCCACGGCAAUGGCCAUCAACAUGUUGAGAGACAUGUCCCCCCUCGCAAUCAGCCAGGCCUGACCAGGCCUGACCAGGCCCAGCCGCCAGGUAAAAAUGAACAAGAACAAGAACCCUAAAAUGUAUUGACAAGAAUCCUCUCCAAGCUCCCUACAGACAGGAGAGCCCACCUUCCUGGGGAUGGGAAUGCUGUGAGGCAACAUUUUACCAUUGAGGUAUGAACAAAGUCAACUUGUGGGCAAAAAUAAAAAUUCACUGAAUGCACAUGUA